UUUCUGAUGCUACAUUUAACUUGGCUGAAUUAUCACGACGUCGCCUUCCCACUGACUUCCUGGUUGUUUUCUUUGCCGGUGGUAAUAUAUGAGUUGCUUUGGGAACCGAUGGCUCAUACGUUCCAAAUAUUUAUUUCAACUUGGCCGAACUAUCACUGUUUCGCCUCCACACUUCUCUACCUGCUUUCACUUCUGGUAGCAAGUAUUCUCGAUCUCGUUUAAGGCCUGCGUUGCAAGGAUAGUCUCUUCCUUUGUAAGCAUGCCAUUAAGCGGUUGAGAGUUGGUGUAGCAUCAUAGUAUUGAAUAUCAACUUGAACCCUGUUGUUUUUGUUAAACUUGUUUCAAAUGAAGUGUGCCGGCACUAGCCACAUAUUUGUA
rnacentral:lncRNA from 1 species